GAUGAACGCUGGCGGCGUGCCUAAUACAUGCAAGUCGAGCGAACGGACGAGAAGCUUGCUUCUCUGAUGUUAGCGGCGGACGGGUGAGUAACACGUGGAUAACCUACCUAUAAGACUGGGAUAACUUCGGGAAACCGGAGCUAAUACCGGAUAAUAUUUUGAACCGCAUGGUUCAAAAGUGAAAGACGGUCUUGCUGUCACUUAUAGAUGGAUCCGCGCUGCAUUAGCUAGUUGGUAAGGUAACGGCUUACCAAGGCAACGAUGCAUAGCCGACCUGAGGGGGUGAUCGGCCACACUGGAACUGAGACACGGUCCAGACUCCUACGGGAGGAAGCAGUAGGGAAUCUUCCGCAAUGGGCGAAAGCCUGACGGAGCAACGCCGCGUGAGUGAUGAAGGUCUUCGGAUCGUAAAACUCUGUUAUUAGGGAAGAACAUAUGUGUAAGUAACUGUGCACAUCUUGACGGUACCUAAUCAGAAAGCCACGGCUAACUACGUG
rnacentral:rRNA from 1 species